rnacentral:lncRNA from 1 species
AUGAACAAAACUGGAGAUGAUUUUUGUAUUCACGGGUCCUUCUGGAAUAAGUAAAAGUUCUCAUGUGAUCCAGACCACUGAGGUAGAGACAGACCUGUGCCUGUCUAAGUGAAGAAGAAAGGGGAUGGAGGUGGGAAAUUGGCACCUUCUACCUGGGGUGGAAAGAAGAAAAGGACACUUCACAGAAGCAGAGAUGGUUG